rnacentral:piRNA from 1 species
CCGUCAUUGGGAGUGGAAA